CUCUUCGGUUAAUACCCGGAGACGAUGACAUUAGCUGCAGAAUAAGCACCGGCUAACUCUGUGCCAGCAGCCGCGGUAAUACAGAGGGUGCAAGCGUUAAUCGGAAUUACUGGGCGUAAAGCGAGCGUAGGUGGCUUGAUAAGUCAGAUGUGAAAUCCCCGGGCUUAACCUGGGAACUGCAUCUGAAACUGUUAGGCUAGAGUAGGUGAGAGGGAAGUAGAAUUUCAGGUGUAGCGGUGAAAUGCGUAGAGAUCUGAAGGAAUACCGAUGGCGAAGGCAGCUUCCUGGCAUCAUACUGACACUGAGGCUCGAAAGCGUGGGUAGCAAACAGGAUUAGAUACCCUGGCAGUCCACGCCGUAAACGAUGUC
rnacentral:rRNA from 1 species